AUGUAGAUAUUUAAGAGCAAUGAUUUUAAUCAUUACAAUGGAGUUUCGUGCUCUUCCUGAUCACCUUUAAGCACACAAAGAAAAAAUCAUUUUAAAAAAGUGUGACGUGGCAAACGUUUAUUGGGUGCCACCUUAAUUUUUUUGCACAGAAAGAUGGAUAAAACUCGACUGGACCCAUCCUUGAUGAAUAGGUAGAAACUGUGCUCUUGUUUCUUUAAGACAAUUGGUCGAUCGAUGCAAAAUAUUUCUCCAGCCAUGCAAAGUUCAAUCAAAUUCACUCGGGAUUGCACUAAGGCAGUUGUCAUGAGCUGGUUAGAAAUUCAAAAGUAAUGAAGAACAACAUGAAAUCAGAAGCACCGUAAUUAAACAAGAUCAUGUGAAGGAGAACGAGCUCGAAAAGCUUCCAUAUCUAAAAAUGGUAGUGAAAGAGACUUUAAGGCUUCAUCCACCCGUCCCACUUUUGCUUCCAAGAGAAACCAAGUCUCAUUUUGAACUCAAUGGUUACGAUAUCGGUUCGAAAACUCGUAUUUAUAUGAAUGCAUGGACAAUUGGAAGAAAUCCCGAUUCUUGGAAAAACCCACAAGAGUUUUGUCCAGAUCACAAGUUUAUGGAAAGUAAUAUCGAUUAUAUAGGACAAAACUUUGAGUUAAUUCCAUUCGGAGCUGGUAGAAGAGAAUAUGCCCAGGUGUGAGUAUGGCGAUGGCGACUGUAGAGUUGGCAUUGGCUAAUAUGUUAUUGUGUUUUGAUUGGAAAUUACCAAAUGGAAUGGAAGAAGAAGAAGAUAUAGAUAUGGAAGAGGAAUUUGGUACUACAGUUUCCAAGAAAUCUCCUCUUCAUCUUCUUCCAAUUCCUUACUAAACUCCAAUUGAUACUCAUUUCAUCUUAUGUCAUGGAUAAACCAAAACUUGCUCUAAUAUUGGGUGUUGAUCCCCUGUUUUGUUAAUAUUAUUGUAAUUUGCAAUGAUAUAUAUUGUUAAUAUAUAUCAAACACUCGGGCCGUUUGGUGGAAGGGUUGGGUUAUGGGGGUUAGGGUUAUGAUAAACCUAGGAUUAUAAUAAGAUGUGUUUGGGGGAAGGACUAUGAAGGAAGUAUUAUGAUAAGAUGUGUUUGGGGGAAGGGUCAUGAAGGAAGUGUUAUGAUAAUGUUGUGAAGAAUGAUUGAGGAAAAGUUGAAGAAGGGUUGAGGAAAGGUUAAAGAGUUAAAAUUAGGGUUACAUAACCUUUCCCCCAAACGGGGUUGGAUUACAUAACCCUAACCCCCAUAAUCCAACCCUUCCCCCAAACGCUCCCUCAGUGUAUACGUAUUCUACUUCACAAUUAUAAGAACAAACCAAUUAUAUCAAUCAAAUAUGAAUAAUAAUGGGUCAGUGUGAAAUCUGUUUUGCUA